UUGAAUGUGACGUCUCACGGCUGCAGACGACCAAAAGAUACCAAACUGUCCAUUUACAUUGAAGAGAAGAAGCAGUGUGAAGAGAGCAGAAAGAGUCACAUGUUGAUCACAUGUUCAUCCUCAGUUUACUGUCAGUCUUUGUGAUCACAGAUAUUAAAGCAGCUUUUCUCUGUUGUGGAACAAAGUGAAUGUAAAACAGGACACAUGUCUCCUGAAACGUCCAAUGAUGAGUCCACACAACAGCGUCAGCAGUAGGAAAGGAGAGAGGCCCAAAGUGUGUUAGUGUUGUGUUGGGGCUGUGAAUGAGCCCUGUCACUGUGAUCAGCUUCCUCCUUCUAAUCCACCAACUCAGUGUUGAUGAAGACUACACAGAGAGAUCACAGCCUUCUUUAGACUCAACACUGCACACAUGACGCCUCUGUUCAUCUCAGUGCUGCUGGCUGCUACGAGCCUCGAAUGCAGAGCGCAAAAAGACAACGUGCUGCAACCAGAAGGAGAUGAGACUGCUGCUGAAGGAGAGGCAGUAACACUUGGCUGUCAAUAUAACAGCACUUCAUCUAAUAACUAUCUGUUCUGGUACAAACAGGAUGGAAACAACAGCCCCAAAUUCAUCCUGAGCCGCUUUAAGGUCGGCUCGGGGAAAACAGAGGACCAGGAGAGAUUUUCCUCCACACUGAAUUCAGACUUAAGAUCAGUUCCUCUGAGGAUCCAGAAGCUUCAGCUGUCUGACUCUGCUGUGUACUACUGUGCUCUGCAGCCCACAGUGACAGGAAACACCAAAACUCUGUACAAAAACCUUUGGAGCAAAGACAACACAAUACUCCACAACGUCCACUAGAGGGAGUCACACUCUGUUCCACUCCAACAGGAGCUGAUGAUCCAGUCUAGGGUUGAAGUACCAUCCAUUUGCUGGAUUACAGACAUACCCAUAUGCCUCUUCUAUUCACUAAAACAAUAGCCCUUACCAGCUAAACUUUUUAAAGAUCUCUGGUCAUUGC